rnacentral:SRP_RNA from 1 species
UUGGUCCUCCCGCAACACUAACUUGUGAACCUGGUCAGGCCCGGAAGGGAGCAGCCACAGUGAGGGAUGUGUGUGCCGGGAUGUGGCUGG